UACGGGGGGGGCAAGCGUUGUUCGGAAUUACUGGGCGUAAAGGGCUCGUAGGUGGCCAACUAAGUCAGACGUGAAAUCCCCAGGCUUAACCUGGGAACUGCGUCUGAUACUGGAUGGCUUGAAUUCGGGAGAGGGAUGCAGAAUUCCAGGUGUAGCGGUGAAAUGCGUAGAUAGCUGGAGGAAUACCGGUGGCGAAGGCGGCAUCCUGGACCGAGAUUGACACUGAUGAGCGAAAGCCAGGGGAGCAAACGGG
rnacentral:rRNA from 1 species